CAUGCACUGGUGGGGUCCCUUGGCCUGGCCUGCGGGGAUUGGGCCGAAAUCGGCAGUCUGACAUCCCCCGAAGGUCCCAGAUUGCAAGAGGGUGCAGGCCAGGCUGAGGGACCCCACCAGUACACA
rnacentral:pre_miRNA from 1 species